UAAUUCAUUUAUAAAAAUUGUUCCGUGAUCUAAAUUAGUACAGUGUCUCUUACGAGGGCAAGAUAGUCCGGUUUCUUUAUAAUAUUUUUGUUUGUUUGUUUAGGCAAUACGAGAUCAUACAUGUAUCUGUGUACAUGCAUAAGUUAAUGUGAGUUUUCUUUAUGGAUUAAUUUUCAGCAUCUCUUUCACAAUUUUGAAAGCGGCUUAUAAAAAUCUUUUUUAAAGAAUAACUUUAUACAGAUCAUUCAGAAUUUGAGUAUGUCACUAAACAAUACUUUCUCUGGGAGCUAGAAUAUUUAAAUGAACAACAUCAAACAAAUAUUAAUGUAUGUGGGCAAAUGGAGAAUAAUACUAUCUUCUUUGUCUUGAGCAAGAAUUCUCACAAUCCCAAGGCUGAUUUAUUCAAUAUGUUGUGCUCUCUCUCAAAUUUCUGUGCGAGAAAAUGCUCUUGUUCUUACUACCGUAUCUUUUCAUUUCUCUGAACUUUUCCACGAACAUACAUAGUUCAAAGUUGCUGACAAUCUGCAUUUAAAAUAAGACGAUCAUAGAGUAGGGCUGCCUGGGCAAUUUUUAACCUUUAUGUCUUCGCUGGAGCCAGAGUUCUGAGAACUUCGUUUAUAAUGGCCUUUUAAAAAUGCCUUUCUGGACUGAUAGGACUUACUUUUUAAGUACUCCUCUGGUACUUUAAAUGAAAAAGACAUGAUAAGAUUUCAAGAUUUCCUGAAGUGCAUUGUUAUGCGUGAAUUAUGCACAUUUGUAGGAGGCCAAGGCUGCCUUUGGGCUUCCCUUAUAGAGCUUCCUACUGAUGACUGAGGAAACAAGUCCUCUGCCGAAUGUAGGGGGAAUGGGUGCCUUAAGAGACAGAUUAUGGUAUGCAUCCAUUCUCAAAGCUUUCACAGUCACUAUGUGAAUUCUACUCUGGGAAUUAAAUCCUGUAAGUGUGUACAAUUAUUUUUGAAAGAACAAUAAAAAGAUAAGAAUAUGCUUGUAGUAAACCAUUAAAAUGAUGCGUGGGUUAUUUUUGAAAGAGCUUAUUGGUGCUUUAAAAUCUAAAGUUGAUUUUCCAUGUUCAUUACUUUCUUUUAUUGUAGAAUCAAUUGAACGAAACCUCUGGUAUAUAUACAUGCAUAUAUACACUAUAGAUAGAUACAGAUACAGGUACACAUUUAUGACCUUUUAGAUAUAAAUUCAAUAUCAGGUUUACCUAUUUAAAAAUAAUGAUUAUAUAUUUGGUAACAAUGUGUUUUUCAAGCUUUUCCUUAAAAAAAACCUGAUUAUGUCAAUUAAUGCUACAACUAACUAUGGGAGAAUUUCACUUUGUUUUUACUGCAGUCCUUUAUCACAAAAUCGGUUUUCAAUGAAAUUCUCAUAUCUAUGCUGUAUACCAUUUCCAUCAAUAUUCUUUGGAAUGAAACAUUAAGGAGGCAGACACUAUCUCCAAUCUUCAAAAACUGUUCCUUAUACAAACAUCCUUGAAAAGAUAGUGUGGAAUAAAGGAAAACCAGUUCCCUGUUGACAAGAGGUGCAGAAACAGAGGUUCCAGAAGAAUUGACUCCCAGUGAAAAGUGGAAAUUUUCCUUCACUUACAUUUGUCUGAACUCUUUUGGAUAUGUUAAAAAGUGAUUUAAGGAAGAGCAACAAGAACACUGAUUUUGGACCUUCACAAGGAAUCCCUUUUUCCUAGAUGGUAUGUUGUCUGAAGGAAGAAACCCCGCAAAGUGUGGGGAGCCCCCAAGACCACGGCUCCAAGGAGUUUCUAACUUUGAUGCUACGCUAUGGUUUCCAGAAAUUCAUUAAAAUUACCAAAGCCCUCACCUCCUCUAAAGGAAGACUGCUGAAAAGAAAUGUCAAGCAAGACCUGCAGAAAAGCAGUUCCUCAAGUCAAAUGGAUUUUAUAAAAACAUUUGCAUUCUCUUCCUUAAAUGUACGCUUUUGUAAAGAAUAAAAGUGAAAAGGACUAAGUGAGUCUUAGGAGAGAAAUUGUGAACUUGGCAUACUGGUGUUAAUCACUGAGUUGAGAUAAACUUUUCCAGGCCAGUCACAUUUAUGUUUACCCAAAAGUUGACUCGCAUUCUUUAUAUUCUCACUAUGAGGUUUUAUUUUUUUCUUCUUACCGUCUGAAUCCUUGUGCCUAACAAUUUGUCAUUGUUACCAUCUUUGAUUACUUUUUGUCAACCUUUCUCAUGUAUGUAAAUUUUCUCCAGCUGUUCCUAAUGUUCAUGGACAUCCUUCAAAUAAAUACAACUUUCUUUUUGAACUUUCAACUCAGUGUGUUGCCUGGAAUACUUCAUGAACUAAAGGUGCAAGACACCAUUACCUAAGAACACAGCAGCCAUUAUGGAAUAUUCAACCAAAAGGGUCACAAUCCAACAAUGUGUAAAAAGAAUUAUACACCAUGACUAAGGGGGAUUUGUUCCAAAUAUAUAAGACUGGUUCAACAUUUGACAAUCAAUCAAUAUAAUCCGACAUAUCGAAAGGCUAGAGAAGAAAAAUCAUAUAAUCAUAUCGGUCAAUACAAAGAUUUACACAAUCUAACACACCUUCAUAAUAAAAACCUUCUUAACCUUCUUCUUCCUUUUUUUUAAAUGUUUAUAUAUUCUUAAGAGAGAGAAGCAGAGACAGAACAUAUUUUGGGAAGGGAAGAGAGACAGGGAGACACAGAAUCCAA